AGGCAAUGAUGACUAAUUACAUUUCUCGAAUCUGAAACUGUGUUAAUUCACAGACGGACCGAAGCUUCUUUGAUUUGAUGACUGCGUUUGUGCGUGUCUGAGCCUU